AGCGGAGGAAAAGAAAAUAACAAUGAUUCCUCUAGUAACUGCGAGUGAAGAGGGAAANGCUCAAAUUUUAAAUCUGUUAGGUUUACCUAACCGAGUUGUAAUUUGAAGAAGCGUUUUCUGCGAAUUUGGUUAGUCCAAAUCCUUUGGAAUAAGGUAUCAUGGAGGGUGAGAAUCCCGUUCGGUUAACCAAAGCGCUUUACGAUACGCUUUCAAAGAGUCAAGUUGUUUGGGAUUGCAGCUUAAAAUGGGAGGUAAAUUUCUCCUAAGGCUAAAUAUUGGCGAGAGACCGAUAGCGAACAAGUACCGUGAGGGAAAGAUGAAAAGAACUUUGAAAAGAGAGUUAAACAGUACGUGAAAUUGUUGAAAGGGAAACGAUUAAAGUCAGUCGUACCUACGAGUAAUCAACCUACUCGAGUGCGAUUUUGUGGGUAUGUUUGAGCUUAAAAACCUUCAUGCUUACAAAUUGGUGCUCUUUGGGCGUACUUUCUCGUAUGGUAGGUUAACAUCAAUUUCGAUCGUUAUAAAAUGACUGGAGGAAUGUAGCUUCGACCUCGGUUGAAGUGUUAUAGCCUUUGGUAGAUGUAAUGAUUGGGAUUGAGGAUUGCAACGGAUACCCUCUGGGCUAUUCGUCUGAUCUCUGGAAGUUACCUUGGUGUCGAAAGCGUGCUUACGAUAUUAAGGUUGACGGCCAAUAGGUUAGAACGUGAUUAAAUUCGUUAAGGAUGUUGACGUAAUGGCUUUAAACGACCCGUCUUGA
rnacentral:rRNA from 1 species